AUGAGAGUCUGUCUUUGCUCCUCCGUCCAGUGCUGGUCAGCAUCUGCAUACUGUGUUCUCCCCGUGGAAGUGCCGCCUCUUCGGCAUUUGGGAAAGAGGACGGGGCGGCAGGACUAUCACAGUCAGAAGCCGGUUCCCUCUCGGGGUGGCCCCUCUGCGUGGGGACCUGAGAUGGAGACGAAAUCCUGGAGAUCAGGGGCCCUCGGUGCCCCGCGGCGCCCUUCGCUGGGAGGCAGAGGGACGAUGGACAGCACAGAAGGGGAUGGCGGCUGGAGCCGGACUCUGGGCUGCAGGAUGUGGAGACGGAGGCAGGGGCUCAGGCCAGAGCCCGAGAGGCUGAAACAGAAGAGGCGCUUCUGUGCAGCCCAGUGGAGCGCGGUGCUUCUGACCGCGGCCUCCCAGCCCCUGGACACGACAAGAAGAAAGGUGGCCUCAAGUCCCUGCGUCCGUGGGAAGGGGUGACAGCAGCGCAGGAAGCCCAGACGGGGCGUGGGGGUCAGCCGAGGGCCAAGGCGACUCUUCUCAGCCUCCCCUGAAGCUGCCCGACGUCCUGGGUCCGACCCAUGGGAGCCCCUGCGGGCAGGGCAGCCACCUCUGGAGAGUCUUCCUGGAGGAAGGGCCCGACCCCCGUCCUUCCUACCGGCGGGGCCCACGGGUCCCCUGGGAUGUGCAGCCAUCGGCACCAGGAGGUGAAUCUGGGGGUCAAGUCUAUGCACGGCGGUCAACAAGACGGGAGAAGCCUGGGACCAGACCCGGAGCUCCCCUGCCCCGGGCUGCCUGCCCCGUAUCUCACGUCUGGGAGCGUCCACUGUGUUCUGUUGACACAAGGGCUGGCGGGCCUGUCCCUCAGCCCACUCUGAUCACCACGAGACAAACAGGUCGCCGGCACGGCUCCUCGUCCGCCUUCUCCCCAGGGCCCUGGGCAGCGCCUGGGUUUCUUCCUCACGACAGCUUCAAGGACCAGCUUCACGACCUAAAUGCAAGGUCCCUCCCAGACCACCCGCCUCCCACUUUAGGGGAAAAUAGGAGAAGGAGUGAGCCUGCCCCCCUGUGAACUCGAUUCACCUCUAAAGUUUCCCCAGGCGUUGGGCUGCUUGGAAUCACGGAUCAGUAUUUCUUUGCUCUUUCUUUGGACGGUUGUCUUUAAUUUCAUGUUCGUCUCGCGGUGUGCAUCGCCGGCUCGUGGGAGACGGGAGCCUGCUCUCUAGGGAUACAGCUGUGUCCGCACCGCCAGCGUUGCUCUCAGCGCAGCAUUUUACGGGGGCACGUGCACCCCUCUGAUGGCCUCUUACUCGAGCGUCUUAAAAACCUAACAGUAGUGCGAUUCACGAAGUCCCACAUCCCUGAAGCGCGUUUUUCCUUCUGUUGAUGGAACAAAGGCUUCCAUUGCUUUCAUGACUUAGUUUCCAAAUGUCUCUUUGUGAGGCCAGCGGAGAUGGAGUUACAAGUGUUGGCGUCUGGC
rnacentral:lncRNA from 1 species